GAUGAGGAUGCUCCAGCCAGUAACGUGGAUUGAAUGCAGCGGAGGAUGUGAAUCAAAGUGGACAACGUGAUGCAGUGAUAGCAAACAGCGGAUGGAGAUGGCUUCACGGAGGCUAUUGGCGGAGGCAGAGUUUUUGGUGGAGAGAAUACUAGCUCAGGAGGCCUUCCAUUGGAAGGAAGCUAGUUGAAGAAAUGGAAGAAACUCAAUGAAGGACUUUCGGUAGAGAUUUCAGGUUGCUGGAAUUAUCAUCAGUAGAGGAGAAAACUCAUAGUAUUUCCAAAAGUGAAUACAAGNGCAGCCAAGGUGAGUUAUAUAGACUCCUCAACCUUGGGCUUGUGAUGAAAAACGUGUUCAGCCACUAUGAAUCACGUUGCCUAACUCUAAUACAUGUGCUAAAUGUGCUAGCUUCU
rnacentral:lncRNA from 1 species